rnacentral:rRNA from 1 species
UACAGAGGGUGCGAGCGUUAAUCGGAGUUACUGGGCGUAAAGGGCGCGUAGGCGGUUCUUUAAGUGAGAUGUGAAAUCCCCGGGCUUAACCUGGGAACUGCAUCUUAUACUGAAGAGCUGGAGUACUGUAGAGGGUAGUGGAAUUUCCGGUGUAGCGGUGAAAUGCGUAGAGAUCGGAAGGAACACCAGUGGCGAAGGCGGCUACCUGGACAGAUACUGACGCUGAGGCGCGAAAGCGUGGGGAGCGAACAGG